GGUGAAUUAGUAACCAAGACAGGGAAAGGAUUCAGGUUUCUGGCUCUUCCAGUUUUGCUGCCUCAACAUUAGAUCUUGCUGCCUCUUUAAAUCCCACAUUUAGUUAGGAUUAGGGUUGGUAGCUGUUAAUAAACAGUUGAGUUGUGUCUUAACUUUCCUCAUUAAAGAAAAAAAAAAGUGGGGGCUGACUCCGUCGUUCCUCCAGCUAUUGGUAUUCUGCAGCAGCUGUCUGAUGGAGAUGGAGCUCUCUGACAAGGAUGGGCCGGAACUCCAGCUGCUGUGAAAAAAUGUCAUUUAUUAGGUCAUUUUAUUGCAUCAUAAUGUUUGGAGUCAUGACUGGCAGAUUUCACCUCCCCUUUUAAGUCCAGGCAGAGCCAGACACCAGCCCUGUUGGCUGAGACAUCCGCCUUUGAUUGAGAGCCAAGGAAGAGCAAGAGGACAGGCCCCAGCAGAACGUGGCUGAUCUGCUGGGUAGACCAAGACCUUGGCGUUGGCCUCUCAAUUUCUGGUAUGAAAUGGGCCUGCUUAGGUUUUCUGCUUCUUUUUGAAUGAAUUUUGAAAUUUUACGUUUUCCUCAGAAAGUAUCCAUUUCGCUCAAACCUUGGAAACAGGAACACAUAUUUGUACAAACGAUUCUUUUAUAAGAUUUAAAUUUCCUAUAUAUAAAUAUCAAAUCAAUAUGUUGUAUACCUGAAACCAAUAUGAUGUUACAUGUCAAAUACAUCUCAAUAAAGAAAGCUAAAAAAAGAA